rnacentral:rRNA from 1 species
AGAAUCAACGCUGGCGGCGUGCCUAACACAUGCAAGUCGCACGAGAAAGGGGAGCAAUCCCUGAGUACAGUGGCGCACGGGUGAAUAACACGUGAAUAAUCUACCUCCGAGUGGGGAAUAACUGAGAGAAAUCUUAGCUAAUACCGCAUAAUACCCACGGGUCAAAGCAGCAAUGCGCUUGGAGAGGAGUUCGCGGCAGAUUAGUUAGUUGGCGGGGUAAUGGCCCACCAAGACGAUGAUCUGUAUCCGGCCUGAGAGGGCGCACGGACACACUGGAACUGAAACACGGUCCAGACUCCUACGGGAGGCAGCAGUGGGGAAUUUUGCGCAAUGGGGGAAACCCUGACGCAGCAACGCCGCGUGGAGGAUGAAGCCCCUUGGGGUGUAAACUCCUUUCGAUCGGGAAGAUAAUGACGGUACCGAUAUAAGAAGCCCCGGCUAACUUCGCGCCAGCAGCCGC